AUUGAACGCUGGCGGCAGGCCUAACACAUGCAAGUCGAACGCGUGGCGGACGGGUGAGUAAUGUCUGGGAAACUGCCCGAUGGCGGGGGAUAACUACUGGAAACGGUAGCUAAUCCCGCAUACCAUCGGAUGUUCCCAGAGUGGAUUAGCUAGUAGGUGGGGUAACGGCUCACCAAGGCGACGAUCCCUAGCCGGUCUGAGAGGAUGACCGGCCACACUGGAACUGAGACACGGUCCAGACUCCUACGGGAGGCAGCAGUGGGGAAUAUUGCACAAUGGGCGAAAGCCUGAUGCAGCCAUGCCGCGUGUAUGAUGAAGGUCUUCGGGUUGUAAAGUACUUUUAGCGAGGAGGCGGUACCCGCAGAAGAAGCACCGGCUAACUCCGUGCCAGCAGCCGCGGUAAUAC
rnacentral:rRNA from 1 species